UACGGGGGGGGCAAGCGUUGUUCGGAAUUACUGGGCGUAAAGGGCUCGUAGGCGGCUUGUCACGUCGGAUGUGAAAGCCCGGGGCUUAACUCCGGGUCUGCAUUCGAUACGGGCUAGCUAGAGUGUGGUAGGGGAGAUCGGAAUUCCUGGUGUAGCGGUGAAAUGCGCAGAUAUCAGGAGGAACACCGGUGGCGAAGGCGGAUCUCUGGGCCAUUACUGACGCUGAGGAGCGAAAGCGUGGGGAGCGAACAGG
rnacentral:rRNA from 1 species